rnacentral:rRNA from 1 species
UACGGGGGGGGCAAGCGUUGUUCGGAAUUACUGGGCGUAAAGGGUCUGUAGGUGGCUUGCUAAGUCAGACGUGAAAUCCCUCAGCUUAACUGGGGAACUGCGUCUGAGACUGGCGAGCUUGAGGGCAGGAGAGGAACGCGGAAUUCCAGGUGUAGCGGUGAAAUGCGCAGAUAUCAGGAGGAACACCAAUGGCGAAGGCAGCUCGCUGGGACGUGACUGACGCUGAGACGCGAAAGCGUGGGGAGCGAACAGG